rnacentral:rRNA from 1 species
UACGUAGGGUGCAAGCGUUGUCCGGAAUUAUUGGGCGUAAAGAGCUCGUAGGCGGUUUGUCGCGUCGGCUGUGAAAACCUAGGGCUCAACCCUGGGCUUGCAGCCGAUACGGGCAAACUAGAAUUCGGUAGGGGAGACUGGAAUUCCUGGUGUAGCGGUGAAAUGCGCAGAUAUCAGGAAGAACACCCGUGGCGAAGGCGGCUCUCUGGGACGGUACUGACGCUGAGACGCGAAAGCGUGGGGAGCGAACAGG